rnacentral:scRNA from 1 species
GGGGUCCAGGGUCACGGCUGCAGCAAGACCGUGUGCUGGAGCCGGCCGGCCUGCGCGGACCUAGACUAUAACAAGACCUUGGCGUCCAGGCAGUUGCAGGUGUGAGCAUGUACCCAGAUGUCUGAUGCUCAUGUAUGAUACUGCAUACAAAA